GACGAACGCUGGCGGCGUGCUUAACACAUGCAAGUCGAACGGAAAGGCCCUGCUUUUGUGGGGUGCUCGAGUGGCGAACGGGUGAGUAACACGUGAGUAACCUGCCCUUGACUUUGGGAUAACUUCAGGAAACUGGGGCUAAUGCCGGAUAGGAGCUCCUGCUGCAUGGUGGGGGUUGGAAAGUUUCGGCGGUUGGGGAUGGACUCGCGGCUUAUCAGCUUGUUGGUGGGGUAGUGGCUUACCAAGGCUUUGACGGGUAGCCGGCCUGAGAGGGUGACCGGCCACAUUGGGACUGAGAUACGGCCCAGACUCCUACGGGAGGCAGCAGUGGGGAAUAUUGCACAAUGGGCGGAAGCCUGAUGCAGCAACGCCGCGUGCGGGAUGACGGCCUUCGGGUUGCAAACCGCUUUCGCCUGUGACGAAGCGUGAGUGACGGUAAUGGGUAAAGAAGCACCGGCUAACUACGUG
rnacentral:rRNA from 1 species